rnacentral:tRNA from 1 species
UGGCUUAUAGGUUAAAGCAUCUGCCUGCAAUGCGGGAGACCUGGGUUCGAUCCCUG